rnacentral:rRNA from 1 species
AUUGAACGCUGGCGGCAGGCCUAACACAUGCAAGUCGAACGAGUGGCGGACGGGUGAGUAAUGUCUGGGAAACUGCCUGAUGGAGGGGGUUAACUCCUGGAACCGGUAGCUAAUCCCGCUAACCAUAGGUUGGGCCCGGAUGGGAUUAGCGAGUGGGUGGGGUAACGGCUCACCAAGGCGACGAUCCCUAGCUGGUCUGAGAGGAUGACCAGCCACACUGGAACUGAGACACGGUCCAGACUCCUACGGGAGGCAGCAGUGGGGAAUAUUGCACAAUGGGCGCAAGCCUGAUGCAGCCAUGCCGCGUGUAUGAAGAAGGCCUUCGGGUUGUAAAGUACUUUCAGCGGGGAGGCGUUACCCGCAGAAGAAGCACCGGCUAACUCCGUGCCAGCAGCCGCGGUAAUAC